CUGAAGCCUCAUGUCGUGUUCCCCUAUAAUAAUGCCUGGGAGGUGGAGUUUGUCUUUUUAUGGAGAGAAGUGGUUUCUGACUCUUAACAAGACAAAAGUGUGGAAUUACCCUAACUUAGGAAGAGAUUUUAGUGACAGGGCUGAGGAAUGGAGAAAGAAAGGAACAUUCUAAUUUUUGGAACAGUGAUCAGGGACUAGAACUUCAUGUGUUGUUUGUAGAUUCUCAGGUUUGGAUGAUGAAUAAGUAACUAAUGAAUGACAUCUUCUCAUACAUUCCCUUAAAAAUGUGUUACUAGAUCCAGUUUUGGUCUAAAUCAGCUUAUACUUGAGACAAUUGAAGUGUCUUUGUGGGAUGGUGAAUGGUCACUAAAAACACCUCCUAGCCUUUGUCUCUUAUUAGUAGUGUUAAAACAGCCAAGUCUGUACUCUUCAGAGAAUCUGCAUGUAAACUGAUGUUUUCUAGGAAUAUUUGUAUUUUCUUGUGCAUGAAAAUGUUUCUAGGGAGAGAACCUCUAACAUCUAUCAGUUUUUUGUGUUGAGUGCUUCAAGGCCUUAAAAAAACCCUGAAUCUUC
rnacentral:lncRNA from 1 species